rnacentral:rRNA from 1 species
AUUGAACGCUGGCGGCAUGAUUUACACAUGCAAGUCGAACGGUAACAGGCCGCACGGUGCUGACGAGUGUUGAACGGGUGAGUAAUACAUACGAACGUGCCCAGUCGCUGUGGGUCACUACUCGCUAGAGUAGAUCAUACCGCAUACGAUCUAUGGAUGAAAGCGGGGGACUGUAAUAGCUCGCGCGAGUGUUGCGGCCGCUGACAGAUUAGUUAGUUGGUCGGGUAAUGGCUCACCAAGCCAACGAUCUGUAGCUGGUCUGAGAGGACGAGCAGCCACACUGGGACUGAGACACGGCCCAGACUCCUACGGGAGGCAGCAGUAGGGAAUUUUGGGCAAUGGGCGAAAGCCUGAUCGAGCAAUGCCGCGUGCAGGAUGAAGGCCUUCGGGUUGUAAACUGCUUUUGUACGGAACGAAACGACUCUGAUUAAUACCCGGGGCUAAUGACGGUACCGUAAGAGUAAGCACCGGCUAACUACGUG